CUCAUAAUAUUCACUUGGUUUAGCUAAAUUAAACUGUUAUUUCUCUGUCUGACUCUACGCAGCCAUUUGCCAAAAAACCUAAAUAAGAUAUUUUUCCCAUUUUAUUUCCCCUUUGUUCGUUAUUUGGUUCAGUUUAAUCAGAGCUACCUUGUGUUACGUUGUUCCCUUGUUAGUUUGGUAUAAAGUUAAACUUCUAGCUAAACGUUUUAACCAAGAAGGAUAAUAUUAACAGGAGAUAUGAAUGAAUGUAAGAAUUGAACCCUGAUAAAACGCGACAUGCACUACAAAUUGAAGGUAUGAAAUUAAGUUAAAUGAAAGCUCGUUUAUUCACCAUAUGAUGCUCGUUAUGAGGUAAUCAUAUAGAUACCGUGAGUUAACGAGGUCGUUUACAUGCACGUGAGUGCACGGAUAUCGGUUAAUUAUUCAAAUUACUGAAAAACACGGAGAAAACCGCAACUGCAUCGUCAUGUGUGUUUUUUUUUUUUUUAGAUGUAACGUUAUGCAAACAGGGAAAAUAUCGCCAAACCAACAAUUCAUUUUACCUCAGAAUAUGCACAGAUUGGAUGCAUUGUGUGUUGUAAGCUUUUCGUGGCGCUAGAUGUCAGACAGAUGCAAAUAGCAAAUACAUACGAAAGUGUAAAACGUGUAUGGCGAACAUUUGUUUUUCUGUCAUUAUAGAUGCUAGUUUGGUGAAAGUACACACUGAGUGCUUAAAAUCAUUCAGAAGAGAUGCUGUUUUUAGGGCAGUUUAUUAAAGAAGACCUGACAUGGAUGACUUCCAAUGAGAAACGACUGCUAAAACGUAUAUAAAUUCAUUACAGAAGGACCCUACCAGACUAUAUUUGAAUACGGCAUACCCAUGAAUUCUGGAACUGUUAUUCCUUAACCCAGUUUGGAGGAUAAGAGCUUACCAACUAUAAAUAUGCUGAGGUGAUGUAUUGCAAAAUAGCCAACAUACAACAAUUAAAGGAUAAUUGCAGCCUAUAUCCUGAUGAAGAUAUGGAUGACCCUCUGUCUGGUCAACAGGAGUUUAAAUAUGGACGGGACAGUUAUGUGGCAGCUCUUCCCUGGCUCAUUCACCUCUUGCCUUCAUUUGUGAAAGGAAGAAAGACUGGGUCAAUGUGCAACUGAAGCUACUGAUUGUGCUGUGUGUUGAGCAUCAAUCCAUGCUUUGAGGUGGAUGGAUCAGCACAGCCCUGCCUGCUCUGCGUUGGGAACAAAAGUUGCAUCCAGAAUUUUUGCAUCAUUCUGGACCAAAAAGCCAUUCCCUCCAUGAUGAAGACCACUGAUGCAGCCUUCCACUACAUCAUGAGUAAAACAACUACAGAACUAAAUACCAGGUUGGAACGUAUUUAAGAAAAAUGAAACGUCUUUUGAAUUGAAAUGUCUGUUUUGUUAUGGAAAAAUCUUUAGUAUUGUGAAGGAUAACAGUUCUGCCUGCCGAUAAGGUAAUUGCAUGUAUUUUAAUGUUCAAGUUUUGAGUAGGGUGGCUAAUUUUUUUUAACUCUUAUUUGAUUUAUUAAAGACCUUUAUAAUAAGUGGUUUUCAUGUCACUGCGCUGUGGUAUAAGAUAACUUUCAUUAUUCCAUACUGUAUUCUGUGUCUAAUUGUAGCUGAGAUAUUUAAAUAAGCAGUGUUAAAUGC